GUUAAGUGCCUGUGAGGCUGUUUAUAAAGCUUCUGCAAAAUUAAGUAUAUGAUGGUUUGUGAAGCUGUUCUUGGUGUUUAAGUGAAAAAUACUGUAAACUAGCGUUCUGGAUUAUAUUCAGAAUAGCUGAUGACUAAACGCACGGUGUUGCAGUUGCCACUGCGAAAAAAAAAAAUGAUACCUGAGAGCCCACAAUAGUCAAAAAAGUUCUCAGGCACGGAGCACUUGACCUUAACCGAUGUCCUUCGUUGCUUAUUCAGCGAAAGGCUCAAAGUCCGUCUCUAGUGUCAGUCUGCGGACCACUAGAUGGCGCUCCACUCCACAGACAACGGCAGCCUCUCGCUCCCGUCCUGACUCCCAAUUCAGAAGAAAUUUUGUACAUGGAUUUAGUUGAAUGACGAUUUUCAACGUCUUUCAUGAAGUUUAAAGUUAUAAACUGUUGGUUUAGUUCUGAUUAAUAAUGUUGUAGACAUGAGUAACUACGUAUCAUUGAGAUGCUGUUUUUCAUUAAACGCCAUUCUUAACUUUCUUACAGGUAGUGACAUCCCAGCUGAUCCAGAAUUAAAAAGUUUUCCAGGUGGCUCUGACCUUCUGUUUAUGUAUGGCUUUCUUCCUGAUGUUACAGAAGUGAAUCAGCGAUAUAUGUGGCAAAAACCUGAGGAAAUUGCAUCGCACCAUGUUUCUCAUUCAUUUAUCUCCAGCUGCCCCUCUGGUGAUGAGCACUCCCAAUACUGAGCAGCACCAGGGCUCUCCUUUCAGCCUCUCAAAGCUGGAGAAGCUGCAGCACGGUGUGUGUGGUGUGUGCGGGGGAUUUUCAUGCUCCCUCCUCCUGCCUGCAGCCACAUUCCAACAGUGCCAUGUUAGCACAUGACCUGAUCCGGUGGUGAAGACCGACUGGAGAAAGUGAAGGCUGGUAGGCUCAGCCCUUCCUCUUGACUGCCUGCAGCAGAGUUGCAUCUGUCCCGAGGAAAACAAUGUCUUUUAAAAGAAAAAAUAUAAAUAAAAAAACCUACAGGCAGUUGAAAUUAUCUUCU
rnacentral:lncRNA from 1 species